UAUAUGGGCACCCGGAGGGUUGUGGACUAAGUUCAAGAUUAUGAAAAAAUUGAUGCAAAAUUUCAAUAAGGGCAAAAGAGAUUUCACUUGGAACACAUAAAAUGCCAAAAUUACUGCUUCAGUGUGACAUAUAUGCAAAGCAUAUAUGACCACAUGGGAUUUUAUUGUUUCUAGGAAAUACUGGGCAUCAAACAUAGUUUUCUUCAAUAAGGUAAUUCUGUAAUAAUGGUGUUACUUAUUUAUUUAUUCAUUCUUUCAUUCAAUAUAGGGUUGAUGUGUUGCACAUUUCCAGGGAGCAUCAGUGAUAUCAUCAUCUAUGUGGACAGUGCCCUUGAAGCUGUACAGGACACAACCUUCACAACCAUAUUCAGUUUGAUGAACAACAUAAACUGGUUUUGACACCUGUGCUGUGGAAGAGAAGAAUGCAUAACACAGUGCUUGGCACAUAGAAGGGCUCAACCAAUACUGCUGAAUAAGCCUGAAGUUUCUCCAAAUCACAGUAUUAUCAUUUCCUAGAAUAGCUGAGGAAGACCUGAGGUUGCCUCAGCCCUCUCAAGAGGUACCAAUGAAUGAUUUGAAGAAGACCAGAUUAGGAGUUAUAAGAACUUGAGAAUUUAAAUUGACCUUCAUGGGUCUGUAUUAUCUCAGUUAAGAAGACAAAGGUAAGUUUUGUGAAUGAACUCUAAUAGCAGAAAGCUUUUUGUGUAUAUUUUUGGAGAGAGAGCCAUGUGUACCUUGAGUUGAGUGCUUGGAGGACUCUGUGAUCCAACUCAAGGUUAAGAACCUAGGAAUUGCAUUCCCUUUAGAAAACAAGAGACUGUGAUUCUGAGAGUCUGAGGAUGAUUUUGCUCUCUGGAAGGCCAGCUGGGACAUCUGGAACUAUAGCUCUGCCAAUCUUGUCACCUUGGAGGCCUGUGACUGAUUGUUUUGACUGAAAGGAGGAGGAAAGGAUUUUGUUUCUAAAUGUCAACCCAGCCUCAGAUUCCCCAGCAAUUUAAGGAGUAUUAUUGAUCUUAUCAGGCAUGCUGGGGUGUAAUUGACCAUCGGAAAGAGACAAAUCAUUGAAAGACACUUGCCCUCAACAGAAAGUGACAUUGGCAAAGUGUAACCUCUGACACAACCUUUUUUUUGUAGAAUUUUUUUUUCCAUUUCUGCUUCCUUUCAUAACGGCCUCUGUCAUAGGGUUACUGGAAAGAAUAACUCGUUAAUGGUGGGGGAAAAGUACUUGGGAAGAUGAUAUACUUUGGCACUUAAGUCUAUUGUUCAAAAACAAUACGAAAUAAUAUUUUUGUUGAAUGGACAUGUUUAGUAGGUGCUCUGACUUGGGGACUUGUCAAUAGUGAUAUGAUGCUAUUUGCCAGAAAUAUGAGCAGUUAAAAAAAUGUUAUCUUUCUCUAGAAGCUAUUUUCAAUGUAAAAUUCCAGCAUGGAAAGCUAGUUCUUGCAAUUUUUAAUGAGACAGGACUCUUAAUAAUGAUUUUUGGCUUAAUGUGUUAAUGAGUAGAGAUCUGAGGGAUAAAGGACUUACAAUGUAAUAAGGAAACUCAAAGAAAGAUUAGGCUCUAAUAAAAAUAAAUAGUUUUAAAAUUGAUUUUAAUAA
rnacentral:lncRNA from 1 species